rnacentral:snRNA from 1 species
GGAUGUGAGGGUGAUCUGGCUGCCACAUCUGUCACCCCCUUGUUUGAUUCAGCUGAUCUGGCUGGCUAGGCAGGUGUCCCCUUCCUCCCUCAUGGCUCCAUGUGCGUCCCUCCCGAAGCUGCGUGCUCGGUAGAAGAGGAUGACCUUCCCUGAUAGAAGAGGACCGUUCUUCUGUCAAGGGUAUACGAGUAGCUGCACUCCCCUGCUAGAACCUCCAAACAAGUUCUGAAAUAUAAAUUGAAACAUCAAACAGUAAACAUGGUGGGAUGGUGUUAAAGAGUAGAGUUUAUUGCGAUACAUUUUUUUGUGAUCAAAGUUAAGUUCUUAUC